rnacentral:rRNA from 1 species
UACGAAGGGGGCUAGCGUUGCUCGGAAUUACUGGGCGUAAAGGGAGCGUAGGCGGAUAGUUAAGUCAGAGGUGAAAGCCCAGGGCUCAACCUUGGAAUUGCCUUUGAUACUGGCUAUCUUGAGUAUGGGAGAGGUAAGCGGAACUCCGAGUGUAGAGGUGAAAUUCGUAGAUAUUCGGAAGAACACCCGUGGCGAAGGCGGCCCACUGGGCCGGACCUGACGCUGAGGCGCGAAGGCGUGGGGAGCGAACGGG